UCUUACACCACAAUAAUUCCCAAAUCCCUCACAAUCUUCUCUCAAAUCACCUCCAAAUUAUAAAUGAGUUUCCAUAAUUAACUAGGAUUGGUAUCAAAAACAUCUUUGUUUCCUUUCACAAACCCUAAAUUUUCACAAGACGACCUAUCAUCCAGUUUCGAUCUCUCAUCCGAACCAAGAAAUUGAAUUGGCUGACGCCGGAAAUCGUGGCCGGAAAACAUGGUGGUGCUUUGGGAACGCAGAUUCGACACUCACACACAUGUUUCAUUCAUAUUUCUCUCUCAAUAUCAGUUCUUGCUUGUGUAACCUCAUGUGUCCCAGGUAAUAGAUUUCAAGUUUCUGUUAAAUGUAGCAAGGGUUUUUGGUUUCUCAAUCAAACACAAUAUUUUGUGUUGUCUCACUUUUGAUUCGAGAUUUCCCCAAACAAACAUAUCCUACCAGUAGCAAUAACUACAAUUCCGGCUUGCAUUGUGGUAUAUGUCCGGCGAGUGGCAAUACACGGCCUAGAUGAGUUCGUGUUCAACCUCUCAGCCGUACUUCUAAGAUGAGAAACAACAGUUGGAUAUUUGAUAUCCAUUGGCUUAUAGCAAGGACGGAAACCUUUCAAUAAAGAGAAACCUUGGUGAUACAUUUAGGUGUUUCUAGAUGGAGGAUUGAACUAACAAAGAAUGGGGGUACAUGCUCUUUUAUCUCUUGAAGAUACAUUAUUUUGGUUCUUUUAUCUAUUUAGUUUUUAUUUCCUAUUUUAUUCCUUAAAGUUCUUUCUCGAACAUGGUUCUUAUUUGUUGGUUCCUUAAUGCCCCUUUUGAAAAAACCGAACAAGGGUAGUGCGAGUAUGGUAAGUGGUGGCAGCAAUCCAUCGCUGCAUCAAGCUCUUAAACAUCUGCAAUUAUCAACUAAAUCUGAUAUCCAGUCCGAGAAGACAGCUCAAUCCAGUGCUAUGCAUAUGCCAAUGUCUGUGUCGAACUGGCCUCCAGUGGGUAAGCUUUUGUCGAACUGGCUCAAUCGAGUCCUGCAGAUAUGGUUGGCAUCGACUGUAGGCUUAUGGUGGGUUUACCCAAGGAAGGAGAGCAGAGAGCUGGAGAGAACCGAUUCACACAGACAUGUAAUAGUUUCUCGAAUCCGUAACAUUAAUUUACUUUACAACUUAUUACCCGGUGAACCUAAUGUCGCAAAUGUGGCAUGGGGACGCAACAAGAAUGCACCAACCGAACAAAGCACCCCCACUUCAAGGUUAUAUCUCAGUCACACAAGGUUCCUGCGGUUGAGAGAUUUCUAAAAAACCUGCCAUUGGACACAACAGAAGCUCAAGCAAGGGUAGCAGCCGUGGCAGAUCCUCGGAGAAAAGUCGCAUAACAAAUAUUUUUAGUUACAUCAUACUUGGUUGUCUCAAUGCUGCCUACUGGUAUGUUCUGUAGCACCCAAGACAAACAUGCUACUUGUGGCAAACCAACUUAUCCUCUGGGGAAGAAAGCUGGCACCGGACCGCCGAUCGAAGGAUUUGGUCGUUAAUUACAUCAAAACUCGAGCAACGACGGCGUGUAAGGCUCUCAACGCUCUCCUUCUUUAAAUUCAUAAAUUUUGAAACUUUUUAACAUACAUGUGAACUUGAUUUAAAAAUCUAUCAUGGGUUUCUCUUUUCUUGAGGAAAGUUGUUGACUUUUAGGAAUCUUUGACCCUUUAUAUAUGUGGGACUCAAAGCAUGGAGAAACUCUAUUGACAUUAGCGGUUUGAACCCUUAUGCAUCCUGUUAGUAAUCUGAUGUUGCAAUGGUCUAUUUGUCAAGACUCCCUCAACAGGUUUAGACUUGCUAUUAUUGCUACUUAGUUAUCAUGCAAAUGGCAAUAUGGUAAAUUUAGUAGAUUCAAGGAUUUAAUUUUAAAAGAAUCAGAUAUUAACCGUUUCCUAUGCUGACAAAUCCAAUGAAAGUCGCCCUAUGUAUGAGAAGCUGCAGUCUCACCCAAAUGUGGGCAUGAGCAAGAAAGCGCGACAGUUUGUGUUCAACUUCUAGGCCUAAGUGCGAACAUGAUGUUCAUCCAAUUGGCAUUAUUUGGGAUUACGUAUCCGCGGGUUUGAUACAUUACGUACCUGGGGUAUAGGGAUGAUUUCGUUACUUGAACGUUUAUUUCUUUCAAAUGAUUACUUCAAUAAAUUAAACUUAUUCAUUUGUGUUUUAGUCCACCCGCGAACCUCGCGGGUUCUUAAACUAGUUUGAUAUAUAAAAUUACAUUUAUUCAA